CCGUGUGUCGGUCUGCCUGUCUGCCUCUGUGUGUGUUUCCUCAACCUCCAGCCCCUUGCCUGAAGCUCCCAAACUGACUGUAGCGCAUAGAGCGCAACCGGGGGCGCGGUGUGUGGCAAUUGGAGGUGGUAUCGAGACAUCGGGAACUAGGGAACACUGAGACGCUGAGAGGUCGCCCUCAGAAGGAGAGGGUGGAUUGAGGAACGGACAAACCCAUUUGGGUAACAGAGCUAUAUGUUCCAGCUGUGGAAAAUAAUGAGAAAGAAUCCUGUGAUGAGCCUGAGAAUGACACCUGUCAUUCUCUUGAUGAGCCUCCUGGUGAGUCCCAAUCAAGCGGAAAGCACUGUGUGAAGCCUGUAUGGAAUAGCACCUUUGGGGGAAAAGAUUCUCGGUGGUUCUAUCAGAAACUGUGGCCUGAGCGACUGCUGGGAUGAGCACUCCAGUGCUGCCUUGUUGGUUCGGGUACCAGCCCCCAUACCACUGCCAAUUACCAAAAAGACUAAGCAGACUGAGAUGACCCUGUAUGGAGAGAAACGAGGUUCUGGAGAGACAGCUGCAGUGGUUGCUGUGAUCGCGGUGUCUGCUGCAAUUCAUUUUUUUCAUGGUUUAUUCUCUCGAUGUCUGCAACCGAGGACUUUUGGUUAUCAACAAUAUUCUGUAGCCGAGCAUCCUCCUGUCUCAUUGUUUCACAGUCUAAUUCUAGUCUACCAAUUUCUUCAAGACCACUCAGUUUUCUGGUCCAGGAUGGACGAAUUUGACUCCAAACUGCUCAUGUUUGCUUUAUACUUUUGAACAUCUGUUUGCAAGGAAGUUUUCAGCUGCUUCAAUGAUACUAGACAAUUUGGUUCUUUUUCUCUUCCUUGCUCCAACCUUGCAAUCUGUUCACUGAGUGCUCUGUUUUCUGCUGAUGACUCCAGCUUGGACGCAUCUACCUCAUAUAAAUCCUUCAGCUUCGACCGCAGCUCUGCAUUCAUCUCUUCAAAGGUGUCAGCACCGGUCAUGAAACUCUCAACAGCAUUUGAUGGUGUAGUCCAGAAACAACUUAUUAUGCUUAAUUCCAUCUUGUGUUUCUUCUCCCCAAGGCUUCCCAUAAUCAAAUAAAGGUGUGCUUUCUUUCAUGGCUCUAUGACUCUUGAUGCAGUCUAUCGGCCAUACCAAAGCUGCCGCGAUGUGAGGCCAGGUGUGAGGGGCUCCCACUGCAUACAUGGAGCUCUUGGACAGCGCAAAGGGAUACCCAAGGUCUUUAAAAAUUAUUUGCCCUGGGUUGUUUGUGUCCGGCACCUCCAUUACUGGUACAACCAUGUGUGUAGGACGGAAGCAAACUCCUUUGUUUUGUUCAAUGUUAGAGCUCCUACUCAACUGCGACCACCAGCCUUCAUCAUUAUAAGCCAGUGGGGCCGAGGGAGUUGAGUGCGAAUCUUUUUUUUACUUUACAUUUUCUCAGUUUUCUACAGAGAUUUCUUAUUUGCCUGCGUAUAUUUCCUCCUCAUCUUCUGAUGAAUCCUCACUAUCCUCUACAAACUCUAAAUCAAACUCCUCCCAGUGACUGACUGUUUUCUGAACAAGGAAGAGAAGAUACUGCUAACAAUUCCCAUCUUAAUUCCUCAAUACGUCCCCACUGGCCAGGAACGACCCUGUCCACUUUUGUAGUAUGGAAUAGCACCUUUGGGGGAAAAGAUUCUUGGUUGUUCUUUCAGAAACUGUGGCCUGAGCAACUGCUGGGAUGACCACUCCAGUGCUGCCUUGUUGGUUCGGGUACCAGCCCCCAUACCACUGCCAAUUACCAAAAAGGCUAAGCAGACUGAGAUGACCCUGUAUCGAGAGAAACGAGAUUCUGGAGAGACAAACGAGAUUCUGGAGAGAUGGCUGCAGUGGUUGCUGUGAUCGCGGUGUCUGCUGCUGCAGCCAUGGUCGCUGGACUAGUACAAACAUCGUUGGUGUCGGACACUGUGGAUAAACUGGCAAGACAAGUCAACGAUGCUCUCCAGACUCAGAAUGCGCUGGAUGUCCACAUUAAAUUUGGACUUUCAAAU